rnacentral:ncRNA from 1 species
UUGAUUGGUUUAAUUUUAGCCAAAAAAAUAUCGGAGGAAGACCACAUAUAAAGUUUAUAUAUGCUUAAAGGAGUUUGUAGCCUUUAAUAAUUAGUGGUGAGAAUUUUUAAUUUUAUUUUUUAAAUAAAAGCUUUCUACCGGGUACUAGGAUAAGUCACAGUGCCAGCAUCCGCGGUUAUUCUGUUUAGUAUUAUUUUAAAACAUACUUGAUUGUUCUAAACUUUUAGUUUUAUUUGGUAGAAUAAUUUAAAGCUAUAAAAUUUAUAGAACUUAUGGUUUUAGUAAUAAGUAGAAAAGAAGAUUAGAUACCUUCGUAUUUUUUAUAUAGUUAAGUUUAGUUAAACUAAAAGAAUUUGGCAGUCUUUUAAUCUUUACUGGGGGUCGUGUAUAUUAAAGGAUGGUCCACCUAUUAAUUUACCUUAUUUUAUUGUUGGUGUACGUCUGACUGCAUAUUAAUGUAAGUAAACAUUAGUGUAAAUAGUAUUAAUUUAAGUUAGGUCUAUGUGCCACUAUAUUAAGGUUUAUAUGCUACACAUUUAUAAUAGAUAUGCUGUAAGUUGUAUAAAAUUUAGGACUAGUAAGUAAGCUUUAUUACAGUGUGAUUGGUUUAAAAGAGUUUAAGAGAGGUACAUACCGCCCGUCAAUUUCGGUGUAUGCUGAGAUAAGUCGUAACAUGGUAGCCCUUAGGGAACUAGGGGCUUGUAAA